CGGAUCUCGAAAGCCUGUCCCAGUUCGGACUGGAGUCUGCAACCCGACUCCACGAAGUUGGAUUCGCUAGUAAUCGCGCAUCAGCCAUGGCGCGGUGAAUACGUUCCCGGGCCUUGUACACACCGCCCGUCAAGCCAUGGGAGCCGGGGGCGCCUGAAGUCCGGGACCGCGAGGACCGGCCUAGGGCGAAACUGGUAACUGGGGCUAAGUCGUAACAAGGUACC
rnacentral:rRNA from 1 species